rnacentral:rRNA from 1 species
UACAGGGGGUGCAAACGUUGCUCGGAAUCAUUGGGCGUAAAGCGCACGUAGGCGGUUCGUUAUGUCGGAUGUGAAAGCCCUUGGCUUAACCGAGGAAGUGCAUCCGAAACUGGCGAGCUAGAGUACGAAAGAGGAUCGCGGAAUUCCCGGUGUAGAGGUGAAAUUCGUAGAUAUCGGGAGGAACACCAGUGGCGAAGGCGGCUACCUGGACCAGCAUUGACACUCAAGCACGAAAGCGUGGGGAGCAAACAGG